CAUUACCAUUGGCAUUAACAAGAAGUUUGGCCAUAACGCGCCCAGAAAUCAUAAGAGAAUCAAUACCUGUUAGCUACAAGUACAUAGGGCAUAAGGUGAAAGAAAGUAAAAGAAAGUAAUAUUUAAAGAUAACCUGAUAGUUAAAACUAUAAACAUGUUCCUAUGGUACAGCAGCAGUCAUGAAGAACAAUGUCUUUGAUGAUUUACUCGCUUUAGAAUGCAAUGGCGCAGUCGCUUACCAAAGGCCUCAAGCCUUUCAAAUUUCUCACCCUUGAGCUUCUUUGGAACUGUUAGAGUUUUCUUCUUCUUUUUCUUUUCUUCUUUUGCUGGGUUUGGGGUCUGUUGUAUGCUUCUUAGAGGAGUAGCAAAAGCCUUUAGAGUCAUCUCAUGGCUUUUGUCAGUAGUUCUGCAUUCAGCAGAUGAUUCUUCAUCACUGCCUCCGAGGGAAGAGCAUCUUCCCCAACUCUCUCUAUUUGAGCUGGUAUAUGAACAACAUUCCUCACUCUGACCAUUUGGCUUAUCCUGCAACUUUGAUGGUUCGUCACUG
rnacentral:misc_RNA from 1 species